ensembl:rRNA 5S_rRNA 5S ribosomal RNA
GUCUAUAGCCGUACCACCCUGAACGCGCCCCGUCUUGGCUAAUCUCGGACGCUAAGCAGGGUCGGGCCUGGUUAGUACUUGGUGAACCCGACAGCCCCAGCCUGCUGUAAAGG